ACGAACGCUGGCGGCGUGCUUAACACAUGCCAGUCGAACGGUGAACUCCGCUUGCGGGGGGAUCAGUGGCGAACGGGUGAGUAACACGUGGGCAACCUGCCCUCAGCUCUGGGAUAACUCCAAGAAAUUGGGGCUAAUACCGGAUAUGACCGCUGACCGCAUGGUCUGGUGGUGGAAAGAUUUAUCGGCUGGGGAUGGGCCCGCGGCCUAUCAGCUUGUUGGUGGGGUAGUGGCCUACCAAGGCGACGACGGGUAGCCGGCCUGAGAGGGUGACCGGCCACACUGGGACUGAGACACGGCCCAGACUCCUACGGGAGGCAGCAGUGGGGAAUAUUGCGCAAUGGGCGAAAGCCUGACGCAGCGACGCCGCGUGGGGGAUGACGGCCUUCGGGUUGUAAACCUCUUUCAGCAGGGACGAAGCGAAAGUGACGGUACCUGCAGAAGAAGCACCGGCCAACUACGUG
rnacentral:rRNA from 1 species